CUAUAAUAUUUCCCUCUUGGUUGUCCCGGGUAAAACUGAUGGAUAAAGAGGUAUAUUAGUUUGAAACUGGCUUUUAACCAACCAAAACAAGCAAUGCUAGCAUAAAGUAUCUUACACCAAUACAGUGCUUGAUUUUUCUGCCAUAAAUGUACCUGGAAGAAAGGGCACCUUUUCUGAUAUGCUUAUCUCCACUUCAGAAGUACACUUCAUGGCGUGACUUUGCCACCGUGUACCUAUAUAAUUUUUUUCCCUAUAACCCAGUUUUCUCCUCCUUCAAUCUGGUGGCCACUCUAGCCAGGAGGUAUCCAGAAGGAAAGAUUGCACAAAAGUGAUGAGAUGGUUGUUUAUGCCUCUGCCCUGGGAUAUAUCAUGCAGCCCAAAACUGUCCUGAAACUUUUUCUGUUGAUGUGACAAAUUGUAAACUCAUGUCCAAUUUCCUGUGUGCUAACCCUGCAAAGUCUUUCACUGCAUUUGGGUCUCCUCCUCCUAUAGGGUGUCUUAAUUUUGGAAUAUUUCCUCCCUGGACAUAUUAGUCUGUGUGUCCUUCGAUCUAGGUCAUUUCUCCCCAGAUCCCGCGUCUUUUUUUUUUUUUUGACCUUUUGUGUUAUAUUCCACUCCUUGCCAGUGAUUGCAUCUCCUCCCCAGUGUAGUAUCAAUUGCAGUUUUAAUAAAUGCUCUGUCUAAUGCUUUUUCUAGAUCAUUAAUGAAAAUGGUAAAUAAAGCUUAGGCUAAUGCCAGUUUCUUGUAAUAACCCUACUGGAUGUCUCCCUGCUUUGUGACAGUUUGUCGUUGAUCACUAUUCAUCACUGAGCCUGAACGUCAAUGUCCCUAUGUGGGGUAAUUUAUAUUCAUUUAACAUAAUUCAUCACAGAAUCAGAGAAAAACAUAGCAAGGAAGGACCUCAAGAGAGAAAUAUUCCUGACAUUUCCAGCCUGCUGUUAAACGUCUGCAAGGAGAGAGGUCUCACAUCCUUCCUGGGCAGUCAUUCAUGCACUUUGGCCUUCCCAUUUUCCAAGCGUCUAAAUUUAAUCUCCUAUGCUGCAACUCAAGCCUGUUGUUUCUUGCUUCUUUCACAGUGGAUAUAUUUGGAGAACAGUUUAUUCCCUCCUUCUCUGGAGAUAUACUUUGCACUGUUGAAUAUUGUUGUGUCUGCCCUAAUCUCCUUGCUGAGGUAAACAACCUCCAUAGGACAAACCUUUCAUCAGAAGUCCUGUUCCCCAGACAUUUGAUCCUACUUUCUUCUGGAUUCUCCUGAGAUGGUAAAGGUUGCCUCAGUGCUGGGUAAAGCAGAAGGUUCAGCCACGUGCUUCACAGACUCAGCUCCUCUCAAUAUGCCCUGGUAUGGUAAUGUCUCUGUGUAUGACAAAAUGGCCAUUUUUGUUCAUUUCAGGUUUCUGAAUUGCUGUACUGCUCCACAUCUGCCCAACAGGUUGUCUCUUGUUUCGUCCUAGUGCAGCUGAUUGUACCUACAUCUAUGCACAGCUUUACUUCCCUCCUUAUUGAGUUACAUCCUAUUUUUUUCAGACCUUUCAUCUGUUACAUCAAGAUGAUUUUUAAUUCUAAUCCUGUUCUCUCACAUCCUUGUAGCUCAUCUCAGCUUGGUGCCAUCUGCAUACCUAAUAAGGACGCUUGUUAUUCCAUCAUCUAGUGGUUAAUAAAAACAUUGAAUGAAAUGAGAGCAGGCUGGAGCCCUGUUGAACCCUACCCAUCCCUCCUUAUGUUUUGCCAAUGACACCUUCUUUCUGAGUACAGUUUUCCUACCAGCUUUGCCUUCUUUUCUCAGAGGGACUGCCAAGGUCGUGUUUCCUUAGCUUCCUUCUGGUAAUGUGAGGUGAGGCAGUACCGAAGCCCCAACUAAAGUCAAGAUGUAAGACUUCUGCUUUGCCUCUAUCCACAAGCCCUGUUGCACGAUGAAAUUAGGUCAAUUUGAUAUGAUUUGCUCCUGGCAAAUCAGCGCUGGCUGUUCCUCUUCUCUUUGUUGUUUCCUAGGUGCUGAUGAUUAGUUAGCUUAAUUAUUUGUUCCAGUGCGUUUCCAGGAACCGAAAUUGAGCUGACUGGCCAUAAUAACUGCCUUGCUCCUCAUUUCCCCUUUCUGCAGCCAGACAGCUCUGCAAGGAGCCCUGUGGCCCACAAGAGCCCCUCCUAGGCCAGCCCCUUCUCAGCACUCCUCUGCAGUUGUGCCAAAGCAAUUCUUUCCUUACCCCUCCUUUGACUACUGCUUUAGAGAUAGAAUACUCUUCUGCUUGUCUUCCUGUUCGGUGCUAGUUAUGCCUCCUUUCUAUGCCUUUCUCAGUUUUAUCCCUACUUGUGUGUGCUGAACUUUUGUGCCCAUCCUUAGUCAUUUGUGCAUCUCAAUUUUCUGUUGGCUUCCUCCUUGUCUGCGAGGCCACUGCAGAUUUAAAGACUUGGCAAGCUGACCUUGCACUGUGUUUUUUAACCUUCCUUUGCACUGGCAUGACUUCAUGUUUUUGCCAUUGUGUUGUUUUUUUUCUGCAGAAGAUCCCAGCACUCUUGAAAGUCUUUGUCCUGGAACUCGUUUCCCUGAGAUCUGUCUUACCAGUGUGCUGGGUUAUGUGGGAGUAUCCGUGGUGCUCAGAAAAUCCUCUUAAUGGGAAAGUGUAGAAAACAAGACUUUCAGCGAAGUUGCGGGCUUCACCCACUUCCAAGCAGACUCCCAACCUGGGCAUACUUCUUGUUUCCUCUUUGUCUCUUAGCAGAAUUAAGUGCCACAAGCCAAAUUCUGACCUCAUUUACACCAGUAAAAUCUGAGUCUGUUCCAGAAAACUGCUGAAGUUGUUUUGGGCUUACAGUGAUGAAAAUGAGAGUGGAAUCUGCCUCAUUAAUUCCCCCAAUCCACAGAAAGUAAAUGAAUCCAAGAGGAAAUAGCUCUUCAGAAGGGAGCCCUGGAAAGAAUUAGAGACUGACUUAAUGGGAUUAAGGGAGGAAAAUACUUUAACAAAUCCAAAUCAAUCCUUUCUUCACAACACUCACAAUGCCAAAAUAAAUAAAAACAUUGUUUUGGGAAGGAAAAGGUUAAAAAGCUAUGAAAACAAAGUCUCUUAGCCUGUUCUGAUGAUAGCAGUCCCAUAGCAGAAUGAGCACAACCCUGAGUCAGCAGUACCCUACCUGAUGCUUGGUGUUUGUCUGCAGUACUCAGAGAGUGGAAACUCAAAUUUCCCACUUUAACCAUGGGUCCUUCUCCAAUUUCAGGUUUGAUAAAAGACGCAUGGAGACCAGUCAGCAUCACAAGCAGGGAUGGAUGGACAGGUCUGGCAGCCAGAAGCCUUUCUCCUUGUCAUCCAGCCAACUAGACAUCCAGCCUUCAGAGCCAUUUCACUAGUCUGUGCUUUGACUUUUUAUUCUCCUGCUAAUUACCAUCUUCUCAUCAUUCUUCACCCUCUCAACACUGUCUAUGGCACUAGAGCUGGAUUUGCCACAAAUAUGUGUAAAAGACCCUGCUCCUGAGGUGUUACAGGAUGUUUCAGGAGCUGCACAUUGAUGGCCUGCCUUUUUGCAGUCACGUGGAAGGAGGAAACAUUAUGAGCAACUGGCAGGAGCCAGCCUCUUCCAGCCAGGCAGGUACAGCUGGGUGGUGAUAGAGAGAAAACCGGGAAGGAGCGUAAGGCUCAUCUUGUGCCCAUUUGUAACAGCUGGAGGCAACAUGAGCUGUUACCCACAUGUAUGCACUGCCUUCUUCCACCUCUGCCCAACCAGGUGGCUUUCUCCAUUUUCCCAGCCACUGUGGUCAACCAGACUGAAGAGCUAGGACAAAGUAAUUAGACCAUGGUCAGAUUUUGAGUAGCUUUUGCUCCUCUGUUUAUAUCCAAGAGCGCACCAUUAUCAAAGGCAAUCCUGCACCGAGGAUGCUGACUUUCUAUUCUGAUAGUCUGAUGAUCUUUGAGGAAGAGCUGGGCUUUAUGCAAAGACCCUCAAGUUCCAAGAGGCAAUGAGGAGGACUUCCAGCCACCAGGGCCAAAGUCUCGCUGGCACUGCCCUGGCUUCCUCUACUGGCAUGUCCCUGGUGGAACCAUGAUGCAGGUCACUUUGCAUAUCAAAUGGAGUGGUGGUCCAGCUCAGAUGGACAUUCCAUCAGGAAGAUGAGGUAUGCUCACUCUACAUCUUUACAACUGGUAUUGUUGGAAGAUCAGAGUGUUGUUCUUUGUGUUGUUUUUCCUGAACUCUGUGCUUCCCAAACUCCUCCGAAAGCAAUGAAUGUAUUCCCAUGGCAACAGAAGCACAGAGGCUGGGAACUGAUCUCAGCAGGGUUCCUCCUCUGGCAAUCCCCAGCCGGUGUAACUCGAGCAUCUCUUGCGCUGGCAUAGGUAGCUGCUGAGGAAGGCAUCAUUUUGGGGUUGAGUUUCAGGAAGCAGGAUACACAGUCCUAAUGAGCCAUAUCUCAUCCUCUCUCUAAUUUGCUAAGUCUGUAAUUGCAAGUGCUGUAAAAUAGAUGGGAGGGGGAGAGUGCAGGGGAAUGCUUCUGCCUCUUCUUCAUCUUCCUGGACAGGGGGAAAACCCAGGACUGAGGUGGCAUGGGUGCUGCCUGCAGGUUGAACAGUCUACAGCCAGACUCACCUUGUGAGCAGUGCCAUGAUGCUGGUGGGGAAAACACUGCAUAAAGGAGAAAGCCAGAAAAAGUCAGGGGGCCUGCGGAAAGCCCCUGGCUGCCUGGAAGGGCCACUUAGCCUGGAGUGACAAAGCACGUUGGAUCUCACUCUUGUCUCUUUGCUCAUGGAGUAGAGGCUGUGAGUGGGCAGUCCUUCAGCUAGUGCCUGUGCAAUGGGGGCACACCUGCUGCAGCCCCGUGGGCUGGGGGCUUGCAGCUGCAGAAAGGUGCCAGCACCGAAAUCCCACUGCAUUAUCCUUGCUGUUAGCUUUGCUUCUUUAAGCUCUGUUCAGCCACUGUUUCAUUCUGGAAGCACCUUAAGCCCCUCCAUCAGUAGAAUUUUGCUAGGAAGAUGAUGGAUUCCCAUGGGACUGAGAUCCAGGUGUGGGGUACAGCCAGAGCACCUCUAACCAAGCCCUGCCACUCCUCCUCUGUGGCAGCUCAGACUGUGCUCAUCAGGAGAGGGGAAGUUGGUAGGAAAAACGUCGGGAAACUUCUAGAGGUGCUAAUUAAGCAACUUUAGGUUAUAAACAUUUUUAAUUGGACUAGUUUUUGGUGUCACAUAUUACCUCUUGAUGAGAAGAGUCCUAAAAUUAAAGCUGUUUUAAUCUCUCUCCUGUUCCUUCUCUCUCCUGUCUUUCUGGUUGCAAAGCAGAAAAAAUUCAUUGACGGUCCUUGGGCUUUGGCGAGCACUGCUAUUUUUAAGGUGUUAAAUUUGAUUUACUUCAAAUCUGACCCGAAACUCCACACUGGGACCAGACCAUCUUUAUCAGUGCUGUAGCUAACUUCCCAUUUUUGCAUGUAGAUUUUAAAGGACAGAUGAAAAUCAGGCUGGUGAGAGACACUAGCUCACCCCCACCUUAACUAUGAUAGCACUGUCCUUUAUUUUAACCUUUGACCCAGAGAUAUUGAAGCACAUCACUGUCUUCUUAUGAUAAAUGGAACGUCAUCAUCCUUUCUUCUUUUUCUUUUCUUUUUCUUUUUAGUAACUGUUUUUUAAACGACAGAGUUGGUCUUGUAUUGAAUUACAAGAUCCAAACACCACCCAUUUUCCCUUUGUGGUCCUUCAUCACUGUCACGGGCCAGCUGAUAUUCUCCAGCCUGUAUGGGAGCUGGGGUUGCAGUCCACAACAGGCAGGUCGUGCCAUGCUCUGCCCAGGGAAUCACUGAAGAAGUCAGGUUUCAGAGUUCCCUGUUUGAACUGGUUGCAACUUCAGCAGUACCUACUAGUGUAUCUCUUGUGCAAGACCAGUUUUAAACCCGUGCCUCAAAAUUAAUGGCUUUCUGAUGGCACAGCACUACAUGAGCAUGGGGGCCAAGUGGAGAUGAGAAGCUCGCAAGUUCAGGAGUUUUCAAGGGUGGUGGGAAGGUGCAAAGCCGCUUUGGGACUACCUGAAAGGACAAAAAAAAGCAAGAUCUCAAACCAUGGCUGGCUACAGCCAGCUCUCUUCUCCCUCACAGAGGCUGUCCCCACGCUUUGUCCCUACUCUGCUGACCUUCCAUGGUUCCUUGUCAGCCCCACAAGCCGCAGUGCGGGCACAGAGGGUGGGAGCCUGUGGCCUCCUGCAUGCCCCUCCUGCCUUCCCACUAGCGGCCCUACUCCCCCUGCCAAAGGGUCAACACUUUCUCAAUUCAGUGCCAAGGCCGGGUGUUUCAUAACUUGCACAACUCUCAUUUGCUUGAGGAUUUUUCUGAGGGGGUAUUGUGCCAAGAGCUGCACUGUAGAUGUUUUAUUUCACUUCCAUAAGGCUGCUUGCCAUUUUCACGCUAUCUCACACCAUCGUGGAGCGUACUGUAGGUAAUAGAAACCUUUAGUUUUCACAGAUGAUGGAUGGCACAGUUUGCUUUGCGAGCCCUCCUCACAGGCAGCAGAGCCUGCAGCCUCUCCACAUGCAUAAGGGAAUGCAUCUCCUUGUGGCAGACAGUUUGCCAUGAAAUCUCCUGGAAGUGUUCCAGCUCUGCAUGCUCUGCCGAGAGCCCAUGCUUGAGUAGCUUUGUGCUGGGCCUGCUGCCUCCCAGCCGACUGUGCCCCCUGGGCUGCCGUUAGAAGGAGAGGCAGCCCCUCUGAGGGAGCUGUUCCAAAAUGGCUGCCCAAGUGCAGUCAGGCCCUGUGGCAGCAGCCCAGGCCCUACAGCAGAGCUUGGGCCUUAUGAGCCUGCAGGGAAACAUCACCUAAAUCUGGGGGGAAAUCCUGAAAAGCCCUUUGUGGGGAGUGUAUUUUUGCAACAGCCUGUUUCCUCCUUUCCUCUCCUUCCUUUCCCCACUGCUUUGUCUGCUAAAUAAAACAACCUACAUUUUUGACCUGAAUUACUUUAAGUGUCCCUGAAGGCAUGUACAGCUACUAGGACUGUGGGAAGGUUUUCUUCUCUAGUGCAGUUAGAUAGCGCUGUUAGAGACAGGUUUCAGGCUUGAUCCCCCAGUAUGAGUGCUGUAUGUAUGUUUUGGUGUGCAGACAAUCAGCCCAUACAUUUCUGUAGCACUGUCCAUUGUAGAGAAACUUUGGCUGCUUUAUGAACAGGCGCUGAUCCUGUGGAGGAAAUCUUACCCCAUUUCUGCACACGAGACGCAGGAAAAGCUGGGACCCAAAUCCUUGCCUCUGCCUCUCUGCUGCUGGGGCUUGGGGGGCCAGACCCCAUGCCCCUCAGGAGCUGUCUGUCAGCCCUGAGUGCGUUCCCGCUCUUACUGCAAGUUCCAAGUGAGGGGUUUUCGAAAGGACAAUGAAAUUGCUCAUUUUGGCCUGUUUUAGCACCCUCUCCUAUAACACGCAUGGCAGGCCUGGCUGAAUUAAACCAGCCAUACUAAUUUCUCUUGUUAGAACAGCCCUGUGUAACGCACCAAAUGCUUGGCUUUGGAGGAUGAUAUUACAAAGAAGGACACUGUAAUUUAGUGGCUCAUUUAAUGUGAACCAAGAGAAAUAUGAGGCAUGCCAAUGCCGCACUGGAGCUCUAUUUAUAUCCUUUUUGGUGUAUGGUAUGAUUUAUAAUAAAAGAUCAUUUUUAUAUAGUAUUAGCGUGGUAAUGGAGCUUACUAGGUUACCAUGUCUGAAGUUAGGAAAUAUUGUAUUAGAACAAGCUCUGCUAACACAGUGUAAGAAUAGCCCUUUCUUCAGUACUAAAUCAUGAUUCUAAGCUUCUUAAAAUAAAUAUUAAUGCGUUCUGUUUACCUAGGAUGCUGGGCUUUUAUGAAUGCAGCACUAGGACCUUUGUGUCUGAGCUCAGAAGCUGUUACGUGCAACCUCAUUUAGCAGUUGCCAGCCUCCCCACUCAGCACCUCUGGUGAUUUUGCUCACCCGGAGCAUUGGCUGUGGGGGCCCAGGAAGAGGGAGAGGAGCAGAAAGCAGAAGAGCUCUGUUUGGCCUGUGAGCAUGCUGUGACAGACUGAGGAUUUCUCUCCUCCACCCCCAAGUGUACGGCCAGCAGUGGGGUGCUGCUCUCUGAGCAGGGGCAUGAGGACAUGGGGAUAGACGGGAUGUUGGCAGGGAGGAGGAGGAAGGAGCAGUGUUUACCCCUAGGAGCUUUUCUGAAGGCCACACAGCGAGCGAGCGGUGGAGCCAGGAUUAGAGUGGAGCCACUCCUGGCACCUUGCCCUCAGAGUGAUUCAGAGCUUGUUUCCAAAGCUAGAGAGCUGGUUGAAGUUUCAUUUGUCUAUCUAGACAGCAGCGUGCUCUGCUUCCCAUUUAAAGCUCUGGAGCCUCAUGGUGAUUCAGAGCACAGGCAGCAGUCCCCCUGCAUGCUGGUUCUGAUGCCAGCCAGCACAGUGCCUCUGAGUCUUCAGUGCUGUCAUGCAGAUUGCAUAAGCAUCAAAGUGGGUCUAAAGACAAGGUGGGAAAUAAUCAGCUGGAGGAUUCCAGGGAUAUGGGGAACUGUCAUAGACAUGGCCGCACCAUGGCAAAUGUCCCUUCUGCUUGAAGCUGUGAUGUUAGAUGUCAAAAUGGAAGGUGCAGGAGAAGGUGGCAACCCUGCCAUCCUGGUCUGGCAUGAAGGAGUGAUAGCCACGAGCAGACCUCCUCUGGUGCCAUCCAUAGCAGCAUGUGCCCCAGCCCAGUCUCUCUCCUGCUCCACCCAAUGCCACUCCCUGUCCCCAGCCCAUGCUGCCUUGCUGGAUAGGGAAAAACUCUGAUUGCUCUCAGGGCCCCCUGGGGACAUGGCCAUUAUUGCCAGCUGAGAAGGUGACACACAGGAGCUGACAAAGUGAGAGCUGACUCUGCUUCCCACUGAGCCAACCUCAGUGAGCCCAGCCACUUUGAAUAAAAAUGAAUUAAGUUGCCUGGCAGUAACUUGGACCAUAUUUUAUUAACUUGGACGGAACUGAGUAACAUUAAUCCACCUCCCUGAAAUUUCUUAUUUUACAGCCAGGUUCUAAUAUAUUAAAAUGUGCUGGCAAAGCUUUUGGUGGGUUACAAUCCACUUGUCACCAAACAACACAUAGCCUGUCAUUACCACUUAGGUAGGGGCUGAGAGGCAGUGAGCGCUCAGGUGAAUUUCUGCAGCAUCCCACACACCUGACCAGAGCAUCCAGGGAGUGGGUGGCUGCUUUCCCACCUGCAGCUUGUAAUGUAACCUCACAAAGUCACCAGCAACUUGCCCUGCAUGAUUUUCUGGGUGACAAAUGCCUGGUGGCCCCAGGCUGGCAUAGGCCAUCUCUGGCCCUGGGGGUGCAUCACUCUGCAGGGGUGCUGUCGAGGGAUAAGUCUUUUCUUAGAAUCACAGAGUCAUUAAGGUUGGAAAAGACCUCUGAGAUCAUCUAGUCAAAUUGUCAACACGUUACCACCAUGCCCACUAAACUAAACUUUGUCUUAGCUCAGCAAAAAUGCCCAAAGAAGUCUGUACCUUAUUCUGAGCCUCAAUUUCUCUGCAAAAUUGGGGACAUCCUUCUGGACCACUAGGUAUGAGGCCUCCAUUCCAGUCCCAUCAGAAACUGGAACAGGCUCUGUGCUCUAGCUUGAAGCCCUAGCAAGAAGUACAAAUGCUCUGCCUUUCCUGUUUAUUAGCAAUAAUAAUCCUAAUAAUAUUUUGCACAUCAGUAAGAGCUUCCAUCUGAGGAAAUUAAAAGCACUUUGCAGGCAUUAAUGAUUUAAGAUGCUUAGCCCAUUUCUGAGAGAAGUAGGGAAAAUCAUCCUCAUUUUUACAAAUAGGAAACUCAAGUGAACCGUAGUCAAGUAGCUGUGCAGGAAGGCAGCAAGGAGACAGGUGAGAGCCCCAUCCCUGUGGCUUCUGAGCCCUCCAUGCUCCAUGUGGCUGAGCCACCUGUGGAGCUGCCAAAAGCUGCACUGGGAGAGAAGGAUGCAACAGGAUGGGACAGAGCUGGUGCUCGUGGCCCUGUCUGUGCUUCCUUGGGCUGGCUGCAGGCACUGCUGCCAUUGGCCCUUCAGGGCCAUUACAGGGAGAAGAAAUCCUGUUAUAAAUAGUCAGCUGAACUCCAGCUCUCUGGGCAGUGAACUUUUUGUACAUAGCAGCCUUGUAAAAUGAAACUACCCCAUGCCUCCCUUGGUGGAAAAAGAGAGCGAGCUGGGACCACACCUCUCCCAUUCUGCGUGUAAAUCUGCCCGUCGGGACCUGGCAGCACUCGCCUAUUUAAAUGAAAUACUCAUUAUAGACAUGGGACUGCUGGGUGGUUGCUCGUUAACCGUUUGGGGCACAGCUUGAAAUAGCACGCCUUGGCCUGGGCCAGGGGCUGAAACAGGAUUUUCCACCUCGCAGAGCAACCAGAUCUCAGCUGCCUGCUUCCCUCUGCUAUGCAGAGCU